rnacentral:rRNA from 1 species
GACGAACGCUGGCGGCGUGCUUAACACAUGCAAGUCGAACGGAAAGGCCUGCUUUCCCUUGUGGAUUGCGGGUACUCGAGUGGCGAACGGGUGAGUAACACGUGAGUGAUCUGCCCCCAACUUGGGUAUAAGCCUGGGAAACUGGGUCUAAUUCCCGAUAGGACUGCAGGGUGGUGCCUGUGGUGGAAAACGAUUUUCUAGUGGUUGGGGAUGAGCUCGCGGCCUAUCAGCUUGUUGGUGGGGUAAUGGCCUACCAAGGCGGCGACGGGUAGCCGGCCUGAGAGGGUGGACGGCCACAUUGGGACUGAGAUACGGCCCAGACUCCUACGGGAGGCAGCAGUGGGGAAUAUUGCACAAUGGGCGGAAGCCUGAUGCAGCGACGCCGCGUGGGGGAUGACGGCCUUUGGGUUGUAAACUCCUUUCGACCGCGAGGAAGCCACCUGGUUGGAAGGGUGGUGACGGUAGUGGUAGAAGAAGCACCGGCUAACUACGUG